rnacentral:rRNA from 1 species
AAGGCAGCAGUGGGGAAUAUUGCACAAUGGGCGCAAGCCUGAUGCAGCCAUGCCGCGUGUAUGAAGAAGGCCUUCGGGUUGUAAAGUACUUUCAGUCGUGAGGAAGGUGUUAAGGUUAAUAACCUUAGCAAUUGACGUUAGCGACAGAAGAAGCACCGGCUAACUCCGUGCCAGCAGCCGCGGUAAUACGGAGGGUGCGAGCGUUAAUCGGAAUUACUGGGCGUAAAGGGCACGCAGGCGGUUAAUUAAGUUGGAUGUGAAAUCCCCGGGCUUAACCUGGGAAUGGCAUUCAAGACUGGUUAGCUAGAGUCUUGUAGAGGGGGUAGAAUUCCAUGUGUAGCGGUGAAAUGCGUAGAGAUGUGGAGGAAUACCGGUGGCGAAGGCGGCCCCUGGGACAAGACUGACGCUCAUGUGCGAAAGCGUGGGGAGCAAACAGGGAUUAGAUACC